rnacentral:rRNA from 1 species
CUACGGGUUGCUCCAGUGGGGAAUAUUGCACAAUGGGGGAAACCCUGAUGCAGCAACGCCGCGUGGAGGAUGACGCAUUUCGGUGUGUAAACUCCUUUUAUAUAGGAAGAUAAUGACGGUACUAUAUGAAUAAGCACCGGCUAACUCCGUGCCAGCAGCCGCGGUAAUACGGAGGGUGCAAGCGUUACUCGGAAUCACUGGGCGUAAAGCGCGCGCAGGCGGCCUUUUAAGUUGGAUGUGAAAGCCUAUGGCUUAACCAUAGAACUGCAUCCAAAACUAUCAGGCUAGAGUCUGGGAGGGGAAGAUGGAAUUAGUUGUGUAGGGGUAAAAUCCGUAGAGAUAACUAGGAAUACCAAAAGCGAAGGCGAUCUUCUGGAACAGUACUGACGCUAAGGCGUGAAAGCGUGGGGAGCAAACAGGAUUAGAUACCCCUGUAGUC